UACAGAGGGGGCGAGCGUUGUUCGGAAUUACUGGGCGUAAAGGGCGCGUAGGCGGCCCGCUAAGUCGAACGUGAAAUCCCCAGGCCCAACCUGGGAACUGCGUCCGAUACUGGCAGGCUUGAAUCCGGGAGAGGGAUGUGGAAUUCCAGGUGUAGCGGUGAAAUGCGUAGAUAUCUGGAGGAACACCGGUGGCGAAGGCGGCAUCCUGGACCGGUAUUGACGCUGAGGCGCGAAAGCUAGGGGAGCAAACGGG
rnacentral:rRNA from 1 species